AGCCACGCAGUGAACCCAAAGCGAACUAUUCUUUCGUCUUUUACUAAAGAAUACUGUGUGCUCGCUGUUUAAAGUGGCAAACGCUUAUUUUUGGAGGGCUAAUUCUUUGGAAU